rnacentral:rRNA from 1 species
UCCAGACUCCUACGGGAGGCAGCAAUGAGGAAUAUUGGUCAAUGGUCGGGAGACUGAACCAGCCAAGCCGCGUGAGGGAUGAAGGUACAGAGUAUCGUAAACCUCUUUUGUCAUGGAACAAAGGCGGGGACGUGUCCCCGGAUGAGUGUACCUGAAGAAAAAGCAUCGGCUAACUCCGUGCCAGCAGCCGCGGUAAUACGGAGGAUGCGAGCGUUAUCCGGAUUUAUUGGGUUUAAAGGGUGCGUAGGCGGACUGUUAAGCCAGGGGAAAAGGCCGGGGCCCCACCCCGGGCGAGCCGUUGAAACUGGCUGUCUUGAGAUGUCGAGAGGUAUGCGGAAUGCGCAGUGUAGCGGUGAAAUGCUUAGAUAUUGCGCAGAACUCCGAUUGCGAAGGCAGCAUACCGGCGGCGAUCUGACGCUGAGGCACGAAAGCGUGGGUAUCGAACAGGAUUAGAUACCCGAGUA